AGUCAAGACAGCUAAGGACUGAAAGCAUCUUGUGGAUUAGCAACCCAGCAAUCACUGUGUUAUUGACAGCCAGAGAGUUUCCACUUGAAGUUACUGUCCAGGACUAUUUGGUGGGACAUGAACCACUGCAAUGAUUCCCAGGUGGGAAGAGCCUCUCUGACCCUGGAAGAGCUCCUCAAAGAUCCCUUCUGCUUCACUGCCUAGGAGCAAUGUUCAGACCAGCUGUGAUUUGUGUCUCAUCUCAUCUCAAACCAAUACCACUACUGAAUUUGCUUUUUUAAUAUGAAUGGCUUUCAUGUUGUCUAUGAGUUGAUUUUAAAAAGUGUGCUGUGCUUCAAGUGGACAUGCUACUUUUAGUUUUAUGCACUUUGAAUGAUCUGUAUGUAAGAAACUGCAAAUUGGAAUGUUUUUAAUAGAAAAGAUCAUGAAAUUAUAGAUCUGAAGGACUAUUUUGAAAAAACAAAGCUGUGAAA